rnacentral:rRNA from 1 species
AACUGCAAGCAUUUCAGCAUGGAAGGGCUUAGGAGAGGCUUAGGAAGAACAGUCAAGAUAGCAUGAGAGCAGGGUCGGGCCUGGUUAGUACUUGGACGGGAGACCACCUAGGAAUACCAGGUGCUGUAGGCG